UCCCGAUGUGGCGCUGCCCCCAUCUCUUGCUCCGCCGCCGCCGCCCCUGCCUCCCUCCCGCUCAGCCACCUCCACCGCUCCCACCCUUCUCCCCAUUGUCGGAUCCACUUGCAUAUCGUCAAGGUUAGGCGGCGAAGCUCCACGUCCGCGACGCGCACAUGCUCGUCAAGGAAGAGGCUCCCGGAUCUGAGGUCGCGCGGCCGUGACGGAAGGGCUCGAGGUGGCCGCCGAAGACCAAGUCCCCACAAUGUCUAGAAUCGCUUCCUCCCCCGUGUUCCACUGAGGAAGGAGCCAUCGCCGCCGAUCGUCUUCCCCGAUGGUCGCCGUCUUUCCUUCCGGUCCCCACGGAUCCUCCGAUCACUGUCUUGUGGUCGGCGAACUCAACAGCUGUGCUCUGACGCACGGGAUCCGGCCGGGGUACAUCAGUACAACCGCCUUGCCCCUCUCUCUUGCUAUAGCAGAUGAGAGUCGGUAAGAGGGGAGGCAGAGAGGAUCUCAAGAGGUGAAGAACAGAGGGCGAGGGAUGGAAUUGGAAGGAGGAGGAGGAGAUCCCCGCGGCAUGCAGUGUCAAAUCUCGUGCUCGCCAUCCCCAUCGCUGCGUCCUCUGCUCCCAUCAGUGGCUCGCCAUUGUUGACCGCACCUGCAGUUGGCUCUCUGUCCCGGCCAUGGUCUCAUCGCCUCCCCUCCAUACCUCAGCACUGCAACACCCUCAACGCUGCCAGGCGAUGAGUGCAGAGACGAAUCUCACAUAUCCAUCAAAGCUUUCAGGUUGUCCCCUUCCUUUCCCCUUCCCCACUUUUUUGUUUUACCAGUGCAUGAACUUACCCACCCACGCCAUCUGUUUGCUAAAAUGCUUCAUAGAGCUAUAUAAAAUUUUAACCUCAUUGACAUUUGCUUGUUACAAUGCUUUAUGGGAAUAAAAUUGUCAGACAUCAUAUUGGUUCUGGUUUUACCACAGAUGUAUGCUUUAUGAGCAGGAGGACUUUAUGACUCGACAAGUUCCUCUGCAUCAUACGGGUGUGGCAACUCCCCACUUGGUGAGGAUCUUAUUGCUGAGUAGUCAACGACAUCACCUGCAUCAACCCCUCCCUGGUUGCCAUCCAUGUGCGACCAACCGUCCAACUUAUUUUCACGUGGGAGUACAUUCUAUCGACGCCCUUUUAAUUUACAAGGAAUGGCUGAGAAGCACGGAUUUAUUUUCAUGGGCACAAAAAUAAUAAUCAAGACCUUAGUAGACUGGCUGUACCUUGAUGAGAGUGUGCUUUCAGCUACCAACGCUUGAUCGGGACCACGACCAAGACAACGGGUCCGAUGUUUGGAAAGGAUCGCGAAAGUGACAUGUGUCAUGGUGAGGCUAGUUUCCAUUCCGCAUGUUGCCUUAUUUUCUUCUAUAUCCGCAAUUUGAGAGGUAAUUUUAAAUCAUUUUGUAUGCUCAUCGAUGUUGAUCUAUGGCAAGAGUCUGGUUCAUCACAACAUCGGUGUUGUUUGGUUCUUCUUUUCUCCGAGCAUGGUUCUGGCUCGGCAGUGCACCAUAACUAGAGUUUUCACACCUGACAGUCACGCCCACCUAAAAUGGGCAUCCUUUGUCACUGUUGCAUUCCUCUCACGUAUUCUUAAUCAUGAAGCUUCUCGUAGGAACAAAAAAUUAAACAAACAAGUAUGAAGGGAUAGAGAAAGUUUGUUGUCUGUCAAGUACCUCGGCAGUCAGGUAGGAGUACUUACACAGGAGUGACCGUUUCGAUCAAACGGGUGGCGGAAGAUACUGACCCUUCUUGUGGUCUGUGUCUCAAUCACGCAAGGAGCAAAGGUUAGCUCUUGUGGAUCAUCACUCGACCUGAGCAGGAGUAGGAUGUUCACACUCCACUCCACGGUCGCAUGAAGAAAUCUUAUGCCAAUUCCAGUUUGCCUUGCCUUGCCCAUGUGACCAACUAUUGGUCUCGUGUCGAUCGACCACACUCCACAGUCGCAUUUCGAUCAAAGUUUCUCCUUUUAGCAUUGUGGCUAUGGAGAUAAAGAACAAUGGGAACGAAUGGUGUGACAUCGGUGAUGAUGUCGCUGAAGGAGAGGGUAAACAGACAUGAUGUGUUUCUGACUAAUGGGCUGCAGGGUUGGCACAAGGAAACUAUUGUUAUGCCUUGUGAGGUCCGACGACGGUGACCGGAUGACUGAGCAAAGCUGUGAAAAAAUCGGUUUUUUUUUCAGAAACAUAAAACAGCGGCCUACAAUAUAAUGCAUCAGCGGAAGAGGAGGAGGCCGACAUAUGAAGCUGAGAGAGGUGACGGGGAGCACGAGAAACUGCUCCCACUGCAAGAGAGGGAGCCAUGCCAAUAGUCAGUUGUGGGCUUGUGGCGCUGGUCGCGACCGCCGCAUCACCAACCAUGAUCGUCCAGGCUGUGGCAUGGGGGUCGUGCUUGCUGCUUGCGCGACGAUCCCCCCAUCGUGAUGAUAAGGCGACUCCCCAACCCUGAUGAUAAGGCUUCAUCCAUUCAAUUUUGACUCUGUAGACAACUAGCUUCUGGGA